UACGUAGGGUGCAAGCGUUAAUCGGAAUUACUGGGCGUAAAGCGUGCGCAGGCGGUUAUAUAAGACAGUUGUGAAAUCCCCGGGCUCAACCUGGGAACUGCAUCUGUGACUGUAUAGCUAGAGUACGGGUAGAGGGGGGAUGGAAUUCCGCGUGUAGCAGUGAAAUGCGUAGAUAUGCGGAGGAACACCGAUGGCGAAGGCAAUCCCCCUGGACCUGUACUGACGCUCAUGCACGAAAGCGUGGGGAGCAAACAGG
rnacentral:rRNA from 1 species